rnacentral:lncRNA from 1 species
AUAGACAGCAAUCCACAUUGAAUAUUGUAGCCACCCAAUUGGGAUGGUGGACAUAGAUGUGCUGAUGCUGCUUAGACUUCUCCAGUAAAAGUCUAGAUUUAUAGAAGCAGCAGACAUAAUCAGUUCAAAACGGCAACAGUCAAGACUGCAAUAGAAAAUUCAGGUCACCAGAAAGCUCAGAGAGCAGGCCCCAUUUGUCAUCUGACCUCAGUAGGAAGGAGGACCUGGAGACCUAAACCCAUGGGUAAGUGAGAAGGAACCUGCUUAUCCUCCAGGUGAGCUGGUCUGUGAAGGAGACUUACAGCAGAGGCCCAAGUCUGGCUGAACUAUGAAAAUGAACAAAUGAAUCAUUGCUGCCAGAGAGGAUUUGUGAAAUCUAGCAUGGACAGGGGACAUGAGGUGAGCAAAUAGGUCAUGCAGAAGGAAAGGUGCAACUGGCAGAGCACAGAGGAAGGGACGUUCAGGGACAGGUUAUCUACUUACAGCCAAGUUGACCUGCUGGUCCCCCUUUUGCGGCUUCAUUGGAAAUUUCUGGAAGGGAGCUUUCCUCUGCUGCUCAUCAAACCUGUGGGACAGUCAGUGGUGUGGGGACACCUCAGCCUUAGUCUCAAAAUAGUCACUCAGUCACUUAGUCACUCACUCACUUGCCAGCAGACUAUUUACUCGCUCUCUGGCCCUUUCAGUUUGGAGACUGAGAGAUAAGACAGGAUAUCCCCGUGAACUCUGCUUAACCUGGAGCCUUCUCUUCCACCAGCCCCCUUCCCAUCACUUACCUCUGUCUGGUGUCUUGACUGAGUUUCUGUAGACCAUGGGGCCUGCAAGGAUCCCCAUUCUCUUUCUCCUUCCUGGCUCCCAGAGGCUGGGAGACUAGGAGCACAUGGCCUUGCUUCAUGGGGCACAUUCUGCUUCUUACAUUGUGGCCAAAGCCCCCACAGUUUCUGCAUUUCACCUGUGAGGAGCAAAGGAGAUAUCAGCGAGUCACAAAGAGAUCCAGAGACCUCUCCAUCCUCAAUCUCCCAUAGAGCUAAAAGGCCCUGUAAUGGUCUCUCUCCAAGGACAACAUUCACUACAGAAUGGGUUGAAGCUCUGCCUGGUUGUUUCUUUGAAUCUGGAAGAGGAACCCAUAAUUGGGAGAUGUAUAGGUGAAGACAGGAAGCCCUGUAUCUGCCAAUAGACCAAUCCUGCCAAAGAGGAGUGGAGCCUUCUUCAAGUCUCUAGGUCCACAUGCAGGGGAGCAGUUCCUUUGUCUGGCCCUCUGAUACCUCUGAUACAGUCAGGACCAUGGGUCAGUAUGACAGAUGUAGCAGAGCAUCAGACCUUAGUAGACCCCCAGACAUUUGCAUAACUAUUUCCAAGACAGAAGUACCUUUCAGGCCAUAGAAUUCAUCCAUAGACAAUACCACCUGGCACCAUGAAAAUGAGACCUAAUAGAGACCAAAUCCAGUGGUUUAGGUACAGGGCCCUGAUUGAGGGAUGGAGCCAACCACCCAUCUCCAAAAUUUUAACCUAGAAUUGCUCCUGUCCUAAAGGUAAUACAGGGGCAAACAGUAGAGCAGAGACUGAAGGAAAGGCCAUCCAGAGAUUGCCCCACCUGGGGAUCCAUACCAUAUGCAGCCACCAAACCCAGACACUAUUGCUGAUGCCAAGAAGUGCUUGCUGAUGGGAGCCUAAUAUAGCUGUUUCCUGAGAGGCUCUGCCAGAGCCUGACCAAUACAGAUGCGGAAUGCACUCAGCCAAUGACUGGACUGAACUUGGAGACUCCAGUGGAGGAGUUAGGGGAAGGACUGAAGGAGCUGAAGGGGAUUGCAACCCCACAGGAAGAACAACAAUAUCAACCAACCAGACCCUGCAAAGCUCCCAGAGGCUAAACUACCAACCAAAGAGUACACAUGGAAUGACUCAUGGCUCCAGCUGCAUGUGUAGCAGAGGAUAGUCUUAUCUGACAUCAAAGGGAGUGGAGGCCCUUGGUCCUGGGGAGGCUCAAUGCCCCAGUAUAGGGGAAUGCUAGGGCAGUGAGGCAGAGAGAGUGUGUGUGUGUGGGAGCACCCUCAUAGAAGCAGGUGGAGGGAGGAUGGAAUAGGGGGUUUGCAGAGAGGAAACAGGGAAAGGGGAUAACAUUUGAAAUGCAAAUAAAUAAAAUAUCC